UACGUAGGGUGCAAGCGUUGUCCGGAAUUACUGGGCGUAAAGAGCUUGUAGGUGGUUUGUCGCGUUGUUCGUGAAAACUCACAGCUCAACUGUGGGCGUGCGGGCGAUACGGGCAGACUAGAGUACUGCAGGGGAGACUGGAAUUCCUGGUGUAGCGGUGGAAUGCGCAGAUAUCAGGAGGAACACCGGUGGCGAAGGCGGGUCUCUGGGCAGUAACUGACGCUGAGAAGCGAAAGCGUGGGGAGCGAACAGG
rnacentral:rRNA from 1 species